GUGGGGAAUCUUCCGCAAUGGACGAAAGUCUGACGGAGCAACGCCGCGUGAGUGAUGAAGGUCUUCGGAUUGUAAAGCUCUGUUAAUCGGGACGAAAGAGCCUAGUGUGAAUAAUGCUAGGAAGUGACGGUACCGGAAUAGAAAGCCACGGCUAACUACGUGCCAGCAGCCGCGGUAAUACGUAGGUGGCAAGCGUUGUCCGGAAUUAUUGGGCGUAAAGCGCGCGCAGGCGGAUCUGCCAGUCUGUCUUACAAGUUCGGGGCUUAACCCCGUGAUGGGAUGGAAACUACAGAUCUAGAGUAUCGGAGAGGAAAGUGGAAUUCCUAGUGUAGCGGUGAAAUGCGUAGAUAUUAGGAAGAACACCAGUGGCGAAGGCGACUUUCUGGACGAAAACUGACGCUGAGGCGCGAAAGCCAGGGGAGCGAACGGGAUUAGAUACCCUGGUAGUCC
rnacentral:rRNA from 1 species